rfam:Bacillus cereus Q1 plasmid pBc239, complete sequence.
GAUAACUGUUCAGGCGAGUGAGAGGAAUGAAGGAGUAACGCCCCGAAACUCUCCCAGUGAGAUUCCCAACUGCAUACACUCGGCAGAGUGAGAUGUUGGAAGCAGGGUAAAACAUGCGAUUACGGUUCGUAGUGUCUAUAUGGAUAACCGAAAGCCAGCAGGAAUAAUAAACCGGCUGGAACUAAC